GCUGGGCGUGGUGGGGCACACUUGUAAUCCCAGCUGCUGGGGAGGCUGAGACUGGUAGAUCAGUUGAGCUUAGGAGUUCUGAGCUGCAGGAGGGCUAAAGCCACCCAGGGGUCUGCACGAAGUCUGGCACCAAUAUGGUGGGCCCCAGAGAGCCUAAGGAAGGGCAAACCAGCCCAGGUCAGGAUGGAGCUGGUCCAAGCUUCCAUGCCAAUCAGUAGUGGAAUCAGUCUGAGUGGUCUCUGCACUUCCAGCCUGGUGAGAUUGGGAGACCCAUUCUCA
rnacentral:SRP_RNA from 1 species